rnacentral:rRNA from 1 species
AUUGAACGCUGGCGGCAGGCCUAACACAUGCAAGUCGAACGAGCGGCGGACGGGUGAGUAAUGUCUGGGGAACUGCCCGAUAGAGGGGGAUAACUACUGGAAACGGUAGCUAAUACCGCAUACCAUCGGAUGUACCCAUAUGGGAUUAGCUAGUAGGUGGGGUAAAGGCUCACCAAGGCGACGAUCUCUAGCUGGUCUGAGAGGAUGAUCAGCCACACUGGGACUGAGACACGGCCCAGACUCCUACGGGAGGCAGCAGUGGGGAAUAUUGCACAAUGGGCGCAAGCCUGAUGCAGCCAUGCCGCGUGUAUGAAGAAGGCCUUCGGGUUGUAAAGUACUUUCAGCGGGGAGGCGUUACCCGCAGAAGAAGCACCGGCUAACUCCGUGCCAGCAGCCGCGGUAAUAC